GGCUGCAGGGCUGAGCUGCAGCUCAGCAGGGAGGUUGUCCAACACUUUAUUAUCAAUCAGGUGAAAUUGCUGCCCAAUUAGUAAAUCAAUACUCCCUGCUGAGGUGAUCAGCUGUGCACAGAAAAGCAGGGAUGCAGGGAAAAGGGAGCUUUCUCCCUCUAACCCAGGGCCACAAAAAUCAAUGGAGUUGUGCUGUGGAACCUGUGCUCAUCACAGAAGAAAAGCAGCUGUCAGGGCCCCGUGUAACCAUGAGAUGGAAGAGCUACAGGGAACAGCACCAGCCUGCAGUGACAGCACACCAGGAAACAGCACCAGGUAUCAUGGUAUACUGAGACAGAGGAAGGAAUAAAAGACCCAGUUUCAGAGCUGCCUGUGCACAUCUAUAAUUAAGCUGCAACCUCACAAAAGCUGGUACCAAUAACCUCAGCAGAGAGACAAUAAGGAAAAAGAGGAACUGUCCCCAGAUGACUUUGUUAUCUCCUGAAAGGCUGGAAAAGACCAGGCCAAAGUUUUAAAGACAA